rnacentral:rRNA from 1 species
CGCUGGCGGCGUGCCUAAUACAUGCAAGUCGAACGAACUUCCGUUAAUUGAUUAUGACGUACUUGUACUGAUUGAGAUUUUAACACGAAGUGAGUGGCGAACGGGUGAGUAACACGUGGGUAACCUGCCCAGAAGUAGGGGAUAACACCUGGAAACAGAUGCUAAUACCGUAUAACAGAGAAAACCGCAUGGUUUUCUUUUAAAAGAUGGCUCUGCUAUCACUUCUGGAUGGACCCGCGGCGUAUUAGCUAGUUGGUGAGGUAAAGGCUCACCAAGGCAGUGAUACGUAGCCGACCUGAGAGGGUAAUCGGCCACAUUGGGACUGAGACACGGCCCAGACUCCUACGGGAGGCAGCAGUAGGGAAUCUUCCACAAUGGACGCAAGUCUGAUGGAGCAACGCCGCGUGAGUGAAGAAGGGUUUCGGCUCGUAAAGCUCUGUUGUUAAAGAAGAACGUGGGUAAGAGUAACUGUUUACCCAGUGACGGUAUUUAACCAGAAAGCCACGGCUAACUACGUGCCAGCAGCCGCGGUAAUACGUAGGUGGCAAGCGUUAUCCGGAUUUAUUGGGCGUAAAGCGAGCGCAGGCGGUCUUUUAAGUCUAAUGUGAAAGCCUUCGGCUCAACCGAAGAAGUGCAUUGGAAACUGGGAGACUUGAGUGCAGAAGAGGACAGUGGAACUCCAUGUGUAGCGGUGAAAUGCGUAGAUAUAUGGAAGAACACCAGUGGCGAAGGCGGCUGUCUGGUCUGCAACUGACGCUGAGGCUCGAAAGCAUGGGUAGCGAACAGGAUUAGAUACCCUGGUAGUCCAUGCCGUAAACGAUGAUUACUAAGUGUUGGAGGGUUUCCGCCCUUCAGUGCUGCAGCUAACGCAUUAAGUAAUCCGCCUGGGGGAGUACGACCCGCAAGGUUGAAACUCAAAAGAAUUGACGGGGGCCCGCACAAGCGGUGGAAGCAUGUUGGUUUUAAUUCGAAGCUACGCGAAGAACCUUACCAGGUCUUGACAUCUUCUGACAGUCU